UCCGCCCGUGAGGGAGCGCGCCGACUGGGCCUCGUCUACCUGGACACCGCGGCAGGGGCCCACGGCCCCUGUCUCUCGAAUUUAGGGUUCAUCUUCUGGAGGCCAGCAGGAGACUCAGGGAGCUGGGCACACAGGGUCCCACCAGGGGCCUCUAGUCUGGGACUGGCAGUGUCCCAAGCCACCACACAGUUUACAGUUCGCGAGACCCACGCUGUGCACCUUGUGACUAAAUGUCAGGAUGGGUCCGCAAGCAGCCCAAAUCACAGGGCAGAGCCCAGGGGGACAGGGCGUCCAGUCCCUGGGAAGCCCGGCUUCCUUGGCCAGCACUGCUGGUCAGCAGAGGGGCCAGUUCCCUGUGACAGGGCCACACAUCCGUCCCCUGCAUCACCAACGAUCACAGUCCGGCGCAGGCCCAGGGUCUGUGUCCCGGGCGGCCCUUUGGUCACCAGUCUUCAAGGUGGGCUGUGUUCAUUUCCUCUCAGGUCGGAAUCCAGGCUUCUGCCUCACCCGUCCCAUAAAACACAGGUCCCCUGGUCUGGUGCUGGGCCAACAGCAUCUCGGGGAGUCCCCGAGGACAGGUGUUUCGGACAAUCCCCGGUCCAUAGCACGACCAGAGCAGAGAAGAGAUUGCUACUCCUGGACAGGAAGCGCAGAGUUACCCCAGCUCAGCCAGGGAAAGCCCAUCUUUACUCAGCGGGCAAGUCCCCUGCGAGGCUGGCAUAGGCCACUACACUGCAAGGAUGGGCUCUGGCUUAAAUCUAAAAUAGAAACCCCACUGUGUGAUCGAUUCCUGUUUUGCUCUCAAAGACAAAAUUUGUAUCAGGAAGGAACAGUCAUUUAGCGGGCCAGGUCCAAACAUGCUCCUUUCUGGUUUCUUCCGGUGGUGGGUUUCUGAAGGUCAGCCGUGGGUGGCACCCCUUAGAAUUCUGAGAAAGUCCGGGGCUGCCCCACAGAGCCCCCUGGCGUGGGCAGCCCGUGUCGGUGUCCCCGGGGCCCCUAGAGACGUCACAGCAAAUAUCUGGGUAGAGAGCUACUCACAGCCUUUUAGGGUGUAGAAUGGAAUAAGAAUUUGCUUGCAGCAAACAAGGAAAUGAUUCACGGUUUGAGUCACAGUACUGGCCACGAGGAAUGGGAUGGCAGUGGUCUCUGCAGAGCUGGCCUCCAGGCCCUGGUCCUGACCCUGGCCCUGGCCCUGACCCUGGCCCUGACACUCCCUCGUAACCCUAGAGCCCUUCCAAGACAGGGUUUCCCCAGCCUGCUGUACCCGAAGAGGCCUGUAGGGGGAGUCCGGGCUCAGGCACUGGAUCUCAUUCUCGCACAGCACAGCCUGGCCCCUCUGUCCCCGCGGGUGACCAUCCCAGCGCCGCUGAGUGCAAGUUCUGAUUCAGAACUUGAGGAUGAGCCCGGUGUGGUGGUGCAUCACUCUAGUCCCAGAACUUUGGAGGAGGCUGAGGCAGGAGGAUUGCCACAAGUUUGAUGCCAGCCUGAACUACAUAGUGAGACCCUGUUUCAAAAAAACAAAAAAUAGAACUAAGGAUGACAGGGGGAGGGAGGGGUUGUCAGCCCUGAAUGCCCAGGAUGAGACGUGCUUCUAAUCAGAGCCACCCAGGACCACCAUGUUCCCUUCACGCUCUGCUCAGCUCCUGGGCAACGACGGAUGUUAACAUUUAUUUGCUAGGACCCUUGGUGACCCCGGUUCGACCUCAGCCUGAAGGUGCCCUCCUUGGGCCGCAGAAGUGUUCCUGACCCAGCGCUUUACUGCGCAGUCUCUGGAUCUUGUGCGUGUAAUCAGGUUGCCCAGCCACAUCCUGCCUGUGUGUAUUUGUUUGUUGGUGUGGUCUGUCCUGUUUCUGUUUUUAUAAAGGUUAUCAUGUGGCCAAGGCUGAGCACACAAGUAGAAUUCUUCCUAUGCCCACGGCAAAAAUAUUUGUUUUUAUAAAUUUCCAAUUGUGCCGUGACACACUGAGUUUCUGCACAUUCAGAAUUGUGAAGAGCCUGACUGGCUGGGAGGAGGCCGAAGUGCUGUUUUAACUUAAUAAAUUAAUUAUUUUUCUUCUGUGUG
ensembl:lincRNA